rfam:Hordeum vulgare subsp. vulgare, WGS project CAJW01000000 data, contig: morex_contig_1585755
CAAAUAUUCCCUCCGUCCCAAAAUUCUUGUCUUAGAUUUUUCAAAAUACGGAUGUAUCUACCACUAAAACGUGACUAGGUAAAUUUGUAUUUAGACAAAUUUAAGACAAGAAUUUUGAGACAGAGGGAGUACUUA